rnacentral:rRNA from 1 species
UACGUAGGGUGCGAGCGUUAAUCGGAAUUACUGGGCGUAAAGCGUGUUCAGGCGGCCGCGCAAGUCGGGCAUGAAAUCUCUCGGCUCAACCGGGAGGGGUUGUCCGAUACUGCGUGGCUGGAGGGCAGUAGAGGGUGGUGGAAUUCCGGGUGUAGUGGUGAAAUGCGUAGAGAUCCGGAGGAACACCAGUGGCGAAAGCGGCCACCUGGACUGUACCUGACGCUCAAACACGAAAGCUAGGGGAGCGAACGGG